GGGGGGGGGGGGGGGGGGGGGGGGGGGGGGGGGGGGGGGGGGGGGGGGGGGGGUUGCGCCUGGGGUGGGCGGCGGACGGGGGAGGGAUGCCUGGGGAUCUGCCUGGUAGUGGGGGAGCACGUCCGUCAGCGGGCGGUACGAGCGCAUGCGUCCUGCGGGAGAAAGUGGGUAAUCUUCGGACCCCACUCGAUCGGUGGACCCUAGGUCGGAUUACCUAGUUGGUUGGUUACAGGCCUACAGAGGCGACGAUCCGUACCUGGUCUGAGAGGAUGAGCAGUCACACUGGAACUGAGACACGGUCCAGACUCCUAAGGGAGGCAGCAGUGGGGAAUAUGGGACAAUGGGCGAAAGCCUGAUCCAGCCAUGCCGCGUGUGUGAAGAAGGUCUUCGGAUUGUAAAGCACUUUAAGUUGGGAGGAAGGGCAGUAAGUUAAUACCUUGCUGUUUUGACGUUACCAACAGAAUAAGCACCGGCUAACUUCGUG
rnacentral:rRNA from 1 species